AAGUCGUAACAAGGUUUCCGUAGGUGAACCUGCGGAAGGAUCAUUAUUGAAAUAAACCUGAUGGGUUGUUGCUGGCUCUCUAGGGAGCAUGUGCACGCCUUGUCAUCUUUAUAUCUCCACCUGUGCACCUUUUGUAGGCCUUCCAAGGUCUAUGUUGCUUUUUCAUUUACCCCCAAUGUAUGUUAAUAGAAUGUUGUGCAUAUAAAAUCUAUACAACUUUCAGCAACGGAUCUCUUGGCUCUC
rnacentral:misc_RNA from 1 species